CAAGUUCAGCCCGACCCCCCGGGGCUGAACUCGACGACCCUCGCCUCCUCCCCCCUGGCGAGGGUCGUCCUCG
rfam:Rhodococcus fascians strain 1168 contig520, whole genome shotgun sequence.